GUAAGGAAUUAGCAGAAACCCAGAUUGGAAAUAAUUGGUAGAGUCAGAACUCAGAACUCGAAAGGAUUCAAGAAGAAGAAUAGUAUGCGACGCCUUCCCAGUUCCCUCCCUUCUUCGCUUCUUUCAAUGUUGUUCUUUUCUUUUGAAAACGCGGCACCGCGGUGUCUCUUGCCUCUUGUUACCAGUACGAUGGAUGGUGGAACUUUAAAGUGAGGUAUAGGUAAUGUGAUUAAUGAGUAACUGUGAAGUAUAGAACCAUUUUCCUAAUUUUCCAAUAUACAUCAUGAGGGGAAAAGAACGUUUCCUGAUCGUCCAAACAAAGGGGUGGCAUCUUGUUUGACUGUUCAGUUAGGAAGGCAUUGUCUUGUGUGUGAGAGACAUUUUGACAAUUUUCACUUGGUAGUUGUCUAAUAUUUGUAAUUUGCAAUAGACAUGCUUUAAUAAAUACAUAGGGGUGGUAAAAAGAUCACCCUGCUCCCUUCUUGGA